rnacentral:snoRNA from 1 species
GCGAUCUUACUUGAACAGGAUCUGUUCUAUAGACUCGCACCUCGCUAUCCUUUGUCACAAAAUAGACAGAAUCCCAAGUCUGGUUGAUGAACCACGACCUUGUGACCAGAGCGUGAUUAACAGCUUCCCUUGGUCCCUCGGGCCCAAGCCGAAGCCGUAGAGGAUCGUUCUUAGCUUAGAGUUCAUCUGGCUAGGAUGGUCACAAGGUUGUCUGACAGAUC